AUACGGAGGACGCGAGCGUUAUCCGGAUUCAUUGGGUUUAAAGGGUGCGCAGGCGGCCGUGCAAGUCAGCGGUGAAAGCCCGGGGCUCAACCCCGGAAGUGCCGUUGAUACUGCAUGGCUGGAAUGCGGUCGAGGCGGGCGGAACGGGGCGUGUAGCGGUGGAAUGCGUAGAUAUGCCACAGAACGCCGAUAGCGGAGGCAGCUCGCCAGGCCUGCAUUGACGCUCGGGCACGAAAGCGUGGGGAUCGAACAGGAUUAGAUACCCUGGUAGUCCACGCCGUAAACGAUGGGCGCUCGUCGUCGGCGGCAGACAGUCGGCGGCCAAGCGAAAGCGAUAAGCGCCCCACCUGGGGAGUACGGUCGCAAGGCUGAAACUCAAAUGAAUUGACGGGG
rnacentral:rRNA from 1 species